ACUUUGGCCUUAAAGUAGGAGCUCAAGGACAGGUUUGAGAGGCUGUCCUGUCUGGCUUCAAAGAACUUUCAAGAAAAAUUACUUCCUUUUUUCUUUUCCCUUGUGAAUCUCUCAUGAGUACCUCUCAUUGGCAAACUAACCCAGACUACAUAGGGAAGAAGAUCCUGGGCUUCUCUACAUAGCAAAGUGUGAUUUGGAAGGAAUCAUGCCAAAUGUUACCAUCAGCUUGAGUCUCCCCACCAAUGGAUCUCCACUUCAGGAUAUUCUAGUUCACCCUUGUGUAACUUCUCUUGACUCUGCAAUUCUGACUUCUAGUAGUAUUGAUGCAAUGGAUGACUCUGCAUUUAGUGGGCCUUACAAAUUUCCAUUCACUCCACCUUUAGAGUCAUUCAACUUAUGCUUCUACACUUCCCAGGUCCCUGUCCCACCAAUUUUGGGUUUUUAUCAAAUGAAGGAGGAAGAAGUACAACUAAGAAUAACCAUUAAUUUAAAACUUCAUGAAAGUGUGAAAAAUAAUUUUGAAUUCUGUGAAGCCCAUAUACCUUUUUACAAUAGAGGUCCAAUUACACAUUUGGAAUACAAAACUAGUUUUGGCCAGCUCGAAGUAUUUCGAGAGAAAAGCUUAUUGAUCUGGAUUAUUGGCCAGAAGUUCCCAAAAUCAAUGGAAAUUAGUCUUUCUGGAACUGUAACUUUUGGAGCCAAGAGCCAUGAGAAGCAGCCAUUUGACCCAAUUUGUACUGGAGAAACAGCAUAUUUAAAGGUAAACAUAUUUA
rnacentral:sRNA from 1 species